CAUUUGUAAAAACAGAGCAUUGUGAUUACAAUAUUAAUUUCGUCUCCUCUAUUUUAUAUAUUACAAUGACAGAAAUUGUGAACUAAGGUCUUUAAUUUUUCAUUAUUACUUUAUUAUUGAAAAAUAUAAUAACAUGAGGUUUCGUGACUAUAUUCAAUUCAUAAUUGCAGUCCUUCUUUUUCAUUCAGCUACUGGUGAUCAACGAUGCCCAUCAACGUGGCAAACUCUUAGUUCUAAUAAAUGUGCCAAAAAAUUUACGAAAAGAACAACAUGGUUUAAAGCCAAACAUCUUUGCAUUCAAGAAGGAGGAAUGCUCCUGGAAGUGCAUUGCCCAAAGGAUGAUAUUCUUCUUCAGAAAAUGGCCAUUGAUGAAUCUAUGUGGAUAGGAGGAAAUGAUCUUUCGCAACACAGAGUCUGGGUUUGGGCAUCCAAUGGAAAACGAAUGAUACCCUUUGUUAAUUGGUACACAGGAAAUGAAUUGAAGAGUCAAGGAACGCAAGAACGUUGUCUGUCAACAUUGGGGAAUGGAUCGACGAAAUGGAUUCCUUCGGAUUGUAACUUUCAAAAGAGUUUUACAUGCGAAAAAGUUCCAGAGAAAAUUGAUCCUUCUGAAAACGAGACUGAUCACACAGAAAAUAACACGCAAAAGCCAUUUAAAGGAGAAGCUAGCUUUGCUGGAAAUGGAUUUAUCGAGUUUAAGAGGAAAACAGGGAGCAUCACCAAGCCACAUGAACUAGUAGAAGUUUCGCAAAUUAUUUCGACCUUUCAGGAGGAGGGUCUCUUUUUUUUGGGAAGGAGUCAAUGGAGACAACAAUUUUGCAUUGGGAUUGUCUCUUGGUAAAUUAGUCGUAUUGCGAAAUGGGGAAAUAUACAGUGAAUACAAAUAUCCAGAAAUGAAUUAUUUUUCGAGUUUAAAUGACGGUGCACAACAUCGGAUCGUUGUCAGUGUUAAAGGGGAAGAUGUGGUCAUCAAAGUAGACAAAAUCACUAAAUCUUUUAGGAGAAAAAGUGGAAUUCUGUCCAAAAAAUUAGAGGCACGCCUCUAUUUGGGAGGCCUUGUGAAUCAAAGAGCAUAUAAGAAAGUCCAAGAAUGGAGCAAUGGGCUAUUCAAGUCUGGAUUCCGAGGUUGCAUUCAUUAUUUUAAAGUUGUGCACAAAACUAAGGAAAUGAGUUAUGGGGAAAGACUUUUUUUUCGAUGACAUAAGUAUGGUUAAGAGACACAAAAGUGUAGAAAUAUCCGACAAAUGUCACGCUCCUUCUACCGAAAAUCCAAAUGGUGGACAUGGGAAAGGAAAUGGAUUUAACUUCAAUGAAGGGAAUUCAUUGAUUCUGAGGAGUGAAGCAUUGCCAUGGAAACGGUUGCUACAGGCUGAUAAGGGAUUGUAUUCACUAUCAUUAUCAAUGAUGAUCAGAUCGAAUGGGGAUCAGGAAAUGAGCAUACUAAGCCAAGUUGA
rnacentral:misc_RNA from 1 species